AAUAUUAACAGAACUUGAAAGAUAACAGAGUGGUUCAAUAAUGAAUUUUUUCCAUAAAAUGAAGUGAAGUACAGAACUAAAAAUGGGACAUUUGAUACACUUAGAAACAAUAAAUUUCACUGUCAAAAAUAUAAACGUAUAUAUAACUAUAUAAUGAUGUAAAAAGUACCUAAAUAUCACUUAGUUAAAAAAAUUUAAUACUAUGCAAGAUUAAUUCCAAUAAAUGUAUACAAACUUAUAUUUUCAGCAAUUAUUAAUAUCAAUUAUGGAUACAUAUGUUUUCUUAUGAAAUAAACAAAUUUGAAGUUUGAUGAAUGGAUUUGGAAGGUAACCCACUAAAUCAAUAUGAGAUGAGGGAUGUGUAUAAAAUCUAAGAGUUCGAUUAGUUUCAUUGAAGCCUACAACAUGGGAAUAAUUUACUGGUAUUUGAAUUAAAACAGACUAAAAACUAUCGUGAAUACAUGAACAUUGAUCGUUUUGAAGAACAAAACAUCCAGCAAAUGAAAAAACACCAAAGGGUUUUUUAUAGAAAAAAAGAUUCUACCAUAUCUAAGUUGGAAUUUCUGGAAAUGUUGUAACUAAAAAGUUAUCUGCAGACUGUCUGAGACUAAAUUUCGAGUUUUGGUGUAGUUGUAGUGAACAAUGUUUAGUACACAAACAAAAUGAGAUGCUUGAAAUUAUGUUACAUCUUUGUGCCACUCAAGAAAUAAUAUAUCAGUACUUUGCAUUCUACUAUAUCCCCAACAAAUUAAAUUGAACCCCUGCAGCAAGCCAUAACAACACUUACAAAUAUUGAACAACUUUUGCAAAAGGUGGUGAUUAGAAUACAAGAAUGUAGGAAGGUAAUAACAUGCUUGAAAACAUUGUCCAUUUGAACCCCAAUGAUGACACAAAUUUGAAAAUUAGAUUUUUGAACGUUAAAUGUUAAAAGCUGAUUUUUAUUGUAUUUAAUUUUAUUCCAAUAUAUCAAAUUUCAAUUUUACUCAUAUUUAUAUCUAUUAUCCAAUUUCAUUUAUUUAUAAAAAAGUAUAAACCUAAUUACUAUCAUAUACACUACAUGCAGUAUAGCAUGUUUCUAUGUACAUUUUAGUGUGACCAUAAUUCAAGACAGAUGGUGGAACUUAAAUAACUGGAACACGAAAUUAACACAAAUGAUACUUUAUGAUAUAUUACGACCGAUUUAUAAUACAAUCAUAUCAAAUUUAAAUUUGAUUUUAUUAUAGAUGUAAAUCCUGAUACACAAAAAUAUAUGACAGUUGUUUAAUUAAAAAUAAAAGUGAUAUUCUCUUAUAAGAAACAUAUUUCUGUUAUUUUGUUGAUAUUUAUUUCAUCACAGUGUAAAUUUAUGUAUUAAACUCUAAGCUUCAAUGAUACUUGUUUAAAAUCUGUCACUUCGGAUGACUAAUAAAACCUUAAUAAAA